AAUCCCGUCGGGAAAAGAGCUAGCCACUCAUCCGUAGCGAGUCUUGGAGGAUGGCAGGUAACUGCAAUCUUUAAGCGUAGACAGCAAGACAGUGGGCCGCAAGCCAAAUGGUUGAAGGAAUAGAGCCCCGAAAACUUAGAAAUGGGAAAGCUGAUGAGUUUAUGCUCUCAGAAAGCAACAUGGUCUUCGCCGACAAAUGGCAAGGAGAAGACGAUUUCCCCGGGGUCCGAGACC
rnacentral:ncRNA from 1 species